UACGGGGGGGGCAAGCGUUGUUCGGAAUUACUGGGCGUAAAGGGCUCGUAGGCGGCCACCUAAGUCAGACGUGAAAUCCCUCGGCUUAACCGGGGAACUGCGUCUGAUACUGGAUGGCUUGAGUUUGGGAGAGGGAUGCGGAAUUCCAGGUGUAGCGGUGAAAUGCGUAGAUAUCUGGAGGAACACCGGUGGCGAAGGCGGCAUCCUGGACCAACACUGACGCUGAGGAGCGAAAGCCAGGGGAGCAAACGGG
rnacentral:rRNA from 1 species